rnacentral:tRNA from 1 species
GCUAAUUUGGUGUAAUGCGCACAUUGGCCUUUCAUGCCAAAAGAACAUAAACUUGUACUUAGCU